rnacentral:rRNA from 1 species
AUACGGAGGGUGCGAGCGUUAAUCGGAAUUACUGGGCGUAAAGGGUGCGUAGGCGGCUUGAUAAGUCGGAUGUGAAAGCCCCGGGCUUAACCUGGGAAUUGCAUUCGAUACUGUCAGGCUAGAGUAUGUCAGAGGUUGGCGGAAUUCCUGGUGUAGCGGUGAAAUGCGUAGAUAUCAGGAGGAACACCAGUGGCGAAGGCGGCUAACUGGGACAAUACUGACGCUGAGGCACGAAAGCGUGGGGAGCAAACAGGAUUAGAAACCCUGGUAGUCC